UCAGGCUGUUCAUGUCACUUACACUCGAUCUGCUGACUGAAAGUGAACAGAAGCUAAACAAUCACGAUGAAGGCUGCACUUUUCCUAGCUCUUGCGUUGGUUUUGGUCCCCUUCAUAGUCGGUCAGGACCACACUCACCACCCGCACCCCACCCACCCACCGCACGAAGGAUGCACAAUCAUGUGCCCUGGGGGUUCCUGCCAUGGUGAACAUAACUGCCAUUGUGACCAUCAUACUGGAGAAGCCGUUUGUCACUAGUCUGCCAUGCCUGGGCACGGGGCAUUUAGUUAUACUUGGUGAAUAUGACUCACCUGAUUAAAACAAUAAACAUGUAAGCAUA